AUGGCGACCGGCGCACGGGUGAGUAACGCGUAUCCAACCUGCCGAUGACUCGGGGAUAGCCUUUCGAAAGAAAGAUUAAUACCCGAUGGCAUAGUUCUUCCGCAUGGUAGAACUAUUAAAGAAUUUCGGUCAUCGAUGGGGAUGCGUUCCAUUAGCUUGUUGGCGGGGUAACGGCCCACCAAGGCAUCGAUGGAUAGGGGUUCUGAGAGGAAGGUCCCCCACAUUGGAACUGAGACACGGUCCAAACUCCUACGGGAGGCAGCAG
rnacentral:rRNA from 1 species